ACGAACGCUGGUGGCGUGCUUAACACAUGCAAGUCGAACGGUGAAGCGCCUUCCUUUUUGGUGGGUGUGGAUGAGUGGCGAACGGGUGAGUAACACGUGAGUAACCUGCCCCCUUCUUCUGGAUAACCGCAUGAAAGUGUGGCUAAUACGGGAUAUUCUGGGUCUGUCGCAUGAUGGGUCUGGGAAAGAUAUUGUUUCGGUGGGGGAUGGGCUCGCGGCCUAUCAGCUUGUUGGUGGGGUGAUGGCCUACCAAGGCGGUGACGGGUAGCCGGCCUGAGAGGGUGGACGGUCACACUGGGACUGAGACACGGCCCAGACUCCUACGGGAGGCAGCAGUGGGGAAUAUUGCACAAUGGGCGCAAGCCUGAUGCAGCGACGCCGCGUGAGGGAUGGAGGCCUUCGGGUUGUGAACCUCUUUCGCCAGUGAAGCAGGCCUGCCUCGUUUGUGGGUGGGUUGACGGUAGCUGGAUAAGAAGCGCCGGCUAACUACGUG
rnacentral:rRNA from 1 species